UCCUAGCCAAAUCGGCCUAGAAAAUCGCAACUUUUCAUUUUCCGCCGGUCUUACUACACGAUAUAACUACAGAAAAGUCUCGUGUACAUCAACCAGCGCCUGCUGGUGCUCUUGAGACCGAUGGAGGGAGACCGCAGAAGAGCUUCUGGAGGUGGCCCGCUCUUCACUUUCCUUCCCGCAGAGCUGGAACAUAUGACCUGGCCAAAGCUGAGGAGAAAUACGGGAUAGAGGCGGGAACACACUGGAGAGAUAGCGAUGGCCAGAGUGAACAUGAACCCUGUGUACAACCCAAAGUCACCCCCAUCACGUCUGAGAGCCGUCAUCCGAAUCCGUCUGCUGGUGCUGUAGAGACUGAUGGAGGGAGAAAGAAGGCAGGGAAAGAGGAGAAGAAGAACAGCUUCUGGAGGUGGCCCGCUCUUCGCUUUCCUUGCAGCAGAGCUGGAACAUAUGAUCUGGCCAAAACUGAGGAGAAAUACGGGAUAGAGGCGGGAACACACUGGAGAGAUAGUGAUGCUCCAGCUCCUGAAGUCCUCCGUGCUGCUGAGGAACAGCAGAAACACAAUGUCCUAGACAAGGAUAUUUCCCAAGUGAUGUUUAACAGAGCAAGUGAAUUUUGACACAGUAUUUCUUAUUAUAUUUUUCAUCUGGAGAAAGUCUUAUUUAUUUCAAGUUGCCUGGCAUAAAAUAAUUAUUAAAAAAAAAUUCAAAUUUUUUUAAAUUGCAAGGUCAAUAU